CCUACGGGUGGCAGCAGUGAGGAAUAUUGGUCAAUGGGCGCGAGCCUGAACCAGCCAAGCCGCGUGAGGGAUGAAGGUUCUAUGGACCGUAAACCUCUUUUACAAGGGAAUAAAGUGUGGGACGUGUCUUAUUUUGUAUGUAUCUUAUGAAUAAGGAUCGGCUAACUCCGCGCCAGCAGCCGCGGUAAUACGGAGGAUCUGAGCGUUAUCCGGAUUUAUUGGGUUUAAAGGGUGCGUAGGCGGCAUUUUAAGCCAGCGGUGAAAGUCUGUGGCUCAACCAUGGAAUUGCCGUUGAAACUGGGGGGCUUGAGUAUGUGUGAGGCAGGCGGAAUGCGUGGUGUAGCGGUGAAAUGCUUAGAUAUCACGCAGAACCCCGAUUGCGAAGGCAGCCUGCCAAGCCAUGACUGACGCUGAUGCACGAAAGCGUGGGGAUCAAACAGGAUUAGAUACCCCAGUAGUC
rnacentral:rRNA from 1 species